rnacentral:rRNA from 1 species
GUGGGGAAUAUUGGGCAAUGGGGGAAACCCUGACCCAGCGACGCCGCGUGAGGGAAGACGGCCUUCGGGUUGUAAACCUCUUUUGUACGGGAAGAAGGAAGUGACGGUACUGUACGAAUAAGUCCCGGCUAACUACGUGCCAGCAGCCGCGGUAAUACGUAGGGGACGAGCGUUGUCCGGAAUUACUGGGCGUAAAGGGCGCGCAGGCUGUGCUGCAAGUCAGCUGUGAAAUGUCUGGGCUUACCCCGUGAAUGCGGUUGAGACUGCAGUGCUGGAGUGCUGUAGAGGCAAGUGGAAUUCCCAGUGUAGCGGUGAAAUGCGUAGAUAUUGGGAAGAACACCGGUGGCGAAGGCGACUUGCUGGGCAGCAACUGACGCUGAGGCGCGAAAGCCAGGGGAGCAAACGGGAUUAGAAACCCCAGUAGUCC